rnacentral:rRNA from 1 species
CACACCGCCCGUCACACCAUGGGAGUUUGUUGCACCAGAAGCAGGUAGCUUAACCGUCGAAGGGGCGCUUGCCACGGUGUGGCCGAUGACUGGGGUG